GAGAAAUUUGAGAUUUAGUGCAAGUGGACCGUGUUCAAGGGAUAAAUUAAGGGUUCCAAAAAAAGGGCCUUCAUCUUCCACAUCUCCAAGCUCACAGACUCCACUUCUCCUACCCUCAAAUAAAGUUGCUGAGGCUUUGCCAUCUGCAGAUCCUGAGAAAAUUUUCUGCAGAAUGAUGAUGACCAGUGACCUUCUGAAGAGCGCUUACCAAGUUGGAAGAGACAAUUAAGAUGUACCAUGCAACUGGACUGACUCAUAAUGGCAAUGGGUCAGCUCAACAUGAAUGCUUUUGAGUGCUUGAAUGAUGUUAAGUCAAUGUCGUCUUAUGCCUGAGACAUCUCUCUGAAGGCAGUGCAUAUCCAGCCCUGAUAUCAGCAUUCCUUUUAUUGAAGUGACCAUAAAUGGUGUUUGGGUGCGAAAGGGCCCGUAGCCUAGUGGUUACAAGGGUCUCAGUAGCACGCUUUGUGCUUUCAGGGGUAGAUGUUGUCCCCGCUGAUCAGGCUAGCUGAAGCUCAAGAAAAGAGCAACGUAUAAUCAUUCAUGAAUGGAGAGUAUUCGAUGCCUGCAAUGUUGCACUUUCUAUGAUGGCUGCUAUGGAGAGUGUCAGCUGGUCAUUACCAUUAGGGGUUAGUAUAUGUUGUAGUGUUGGAAUAUAUUUCUUGGAAGUAGAAUUGCAUGUUCUUUCUUUGAAUCAAUAAAUUUGAAACUCACAUAUCUGUAAAUAAACAAUUUGGUGAACUAUUGUGGAUUUUAUAUUGUCAGAAAUUCUAAAUGGUACA